UGCCAGCAGGCGCGGUAAUACGGAGGGGGUUGGCGUUGUUCGGAAUUACUGGGCGUAAAGCGCACGUAGGCGGACUAAUCAGUCAGAGGUGAAAUCCCAGGGCUCAACCCUGGAACUGCCUUUGAUACUGUUAGUCUAGAGUUCGAGAGAGGAGAGUAGAAUUUCUGGUGUAGCGGUGAAAUGCGUAGAUAUCAGAAGGAAUACCAAUGGCGAAGGCAGCUCUCUGGCUCGUCACUGACGCUGAGGUGCGAAAGCGUGGGUAGCAAACAGGAUUAGAUA
rnacentral:rRNA from 1 species